rfam:Camelus ferus unplaced genomic scaffold scaffold305, whole genome shotgun sequence.
GAGGGUAUGGCUCAAGUGGUAGGGUGCAUGCUUAGCAUGCACAAGGUCCUGGGUUCAAUUCCCAGAACCUCCU